UAUUUUAACUAUAACUCUUGAACGGAAUGAGAUAUCUUCACCAAACUCGGUAUACAUAUGUAUAAGCUCAAUCUUUGGUCAAAUCAAAAAUAUUGCGCAUCUCUGCCACUUGGGGGCGCUAUAAGAUAGAAAAAACACAUAAAUGGCUAUAACUAGGCAACUGUUGCCUCGAUCGACUUGAAAAUUGGUAUGCAAUGUCUCGGUCUGAAGGGGCACAAGUACAUAUGAGGACAUUUGCAUAUCUAAAAAAAACAUGGCCGCCAUUGGCCAAACAAUUUUAAGCACCUAUUUGAAAGGGUUAACGGAUGUUGAUCGGAACGAAACUCGCUGGGUACGUUCGACUCAUGAACCUUAAGGUCUGUAAGAAUUUUGAAAGAAAUCGGCCACUAGUUGGCGCUAACGAGUUUUAUGGCUCUGUAAUCACGUGGUAUUUCACAUAUCAACACAAUAUGCAUAUCAUUUGAUAGAUCUCCUCAUAAUGCACAACUUUGCCUCAAGAACCAUUGCUGUCAAUCAAAUCGUUCAAUUGUUAUUCACAAAUAUGUUAAAAACCUACUUUUGCGAACUAGUCCUAGGUUUUUUGUCCGAUCGGAACCAAACCACUGCAGUAAUAUUCUGUGGACUCUCUAGAUCAAUAAUUAUUAAAAAAAUGUUGAAUUUUGUCCUUUGGUUAGCUGUAACGGGGUAAUUUAGAAAAGGAGUGUGGCCAAACAUACCCCAAAGCCUAUAAAACCUAAAGGAAAACUCAAAACUUUAUGAAACUCAGUGAAAUCAUGUAACAGGUGACUCUUAACAAGCAUGCAAAGUUUCAUGGAGAUCAGACCAUAGGUGGCGCUAUAACAGUAGAAAAGGUCUUAAAACACAAGAUUUCUAUGGUAAAUGGCCUCAAAUUGUUUGAAAAUGUUCAUAUAUUCACUCAAAAACACUAAAUCUUCGUAUCAUAUGAUACAUCUCCUCAUUCUGAACAACUUUGCCUCUGGGACCAAUGUUGUCAAUGAAGCUGUUAAUUAAAUAUUCAAGAUUAUUUAAAAAAGUUACUUUGGCAUACUUGUGAUACGGUUUAAGAUGAAAAUCAAUAAAACCACUGAAGUACAAUUCUCUAGACUCUGAAGGUCAAUAAUUAUCAAAAACAUGUUGAACAAUUGCAUUUGGACAACUAUAAACCAGUAAUUUUAUAAUAUGUUAUUUGCAUAGUGUACACAAAGGCCUAUUAAUACAAACAGAAAGCCCACAAAUUAUCAAAACUGUGUAAAAUAAUGCCUAAUUUCAUUCUAAACGAGCAUGCCAUAUUUAAGAGAUAUUGGGCAAAAAAACACUAAGAGUUAUAAAGGAUUAACACAUUGAUGUAUGAGAAAUUGCCAUUUAUAACCACUAGAUGGCAGCGGAAAACCACUAAUGGGCUCAUUCAGCUAACUUAAACAGUACAGUUGAAAGGAUGUAUGAAUUAAUGCCUAAACAAUAAAAAAAAAACACUCUUACAACAUUUCAAAUCUCAUUGAGUUAAAGUUUUUCAUUUUGUUCAUUCAGACAUAUCAGUUUUUAAAAUUUUGCCACAUUAUGAUUACAGUGAAACCUGAAAAUGACAUCUAAAAUCUUAAAAACGAGUUUAAUCAUUUAAUUUCAGUGUGUGUGUCUGUCUGUUAGCCUAUUCUCCAUUUUGGAUGUGUUUAACGGCCAUCCAUAUACGUCCAGGUUGGCUCUGACCACCUAAGAUGCCUUAAGUGCUUGAACCCCGUAAAUGCUGCUUGCAGCUUUAAUUAUUAUUAUUAUUAUUAUUAUUAUUAU